CAUGCAAGUCGAGGGGCAGCAUGAUUGAAGCUUGCUUCAAUUGAUGGCGACCGGCGCACGGGUGAGUAACGCGUAUCCAACCUUCCGUACACUCAGGGAUAGCCUUUCGAAAGAAAGAUUAAUACCUGAUGGUAUGAUGAGAUUGCAUGAUAUCAUCAUUAAAGAUUCAUCGGUGUACGAUGGGGAUGCGUUCCAUUAGGUAGUAGGCGGGGUAACGGCCCACCUAGCCUACGAUGGAUAGGGGUUCUGAGAGGAAGGUCCCCCACAUUGGAACUGAGACACGGUCCAAACUCCUACGGGAGGCAGCAGUGAGGAAUAUUGGUCAAUGGACGAGAGUCUGAACCAGCCAAGUAGCGUGAAGGAUGAAGGUCCUACGGAUUGUAAACUUCUUUUAUAAGGGAAUAAAACCUCCCACGUGUGGGAGCUUGUAUGUACCUUAUGAAUAAGCAUCGGCUAACUCCGUGCCAGCAGCCGCGGUAAUACGGAGGAUGCGAGCGUUAUCCGGAUUUAUUGGGUUUAAAGGGAGCGCAGACGGGUCGUUAAGUCAGCUGUGAA
rnacentral:rRNA from 1 species